rnacentral:rRNA from 1 species
GCGAACGGCGGGCGAGGGGCGGGGGGAAUACGAAGUGGGCUUGCGUUGCUCGGAAUGACUGGGCGUAAAGCGCACGGAGGCGGAUUGUUAAGUCGGGGGUGAAAGCCUGGAGCUCAACUCCAGAACUGCCUUCGAUACUGGCGAUCUCGAGUUCGGGAGAGGUGAGUGGAACUGCGAGUGUAGAGGUGAAAUUCGUAGAUAUUCGCAAGAACACCAGUGACGAAGGCGGCUCACUGGCCCGAUACUGACGCUGAGGUGCGAAAGCGUGGGGAGCAAACAGGAUUAGAUACCCCAGUAGUC